UAAAUACAUUGGCUUUUCUCCACCUUAGCCACUCUCUAUCUUCCUUGGCUUUACGCUCCCUCUUUCAGCUUCAGGUUCUCUCUAUAUGCAACAUUUACACAUACACAUAAAACUGCUUCCUAUCGAGUAUUGUUCGAUACUUCUCACAUGGCGUCGAUUGCUCCGCCAACAUUUCGAUCUCCUUCCACUUGCAUUGAUCCAAACUUUUCCAAUUUCAACUUCUCCGUCGGAAAGUUCACAUCCCGAUUGAAGCGGCCUUCACCGCUUUUCUUCAGCUCUCACUCCCUCGCGAGCCCUCUUUCUGCAUUUAAGGUUUCGGAGCAUUCUCUCUGCUGCCGCUGCCGAAGCAGCGACAGAGAUGGCGCGGAUUCCUCGCCGUCGGCGUCUGAAAACGUUUCUCCGUCGUGGAAGUGGGACUCCGCGAUUCAAGAGGCGGUUAAAAAUGUGCUGAAGAGGUUCGAUAGUUUUGUGAACUCGAAUUGGAGCGAGUCCGAGAGUGGUGGUGUUACGGAGAGGAAGAGCGAGGAUGGGGAUUGGGAUUGGGAGCGGUGGAAAAAGCAUUUUACAGAAGUUGAGGAGCAAGAGCAAAUGGUUUCCAUUUUGAAGUCGCAGUUAGCAGGUGCUAUUGGUCGAGAGGAUUAUGAAGAGGCUGCAAAGCUUAAGGUGGGGAUUGCUGCUGCAGCUACAAAUGACACUGUGGGAAAAGUGAUAUCUCAUCUAAAUAAUGCUGUGAAGGAAGAGCUGUAUGCAGAUGCAGCUUUCAUACGUGAUCAUGCUGGUGCUGGGUUGGUGGGAUGGUGGUCUGGAAUUUCAGAUGAUUGUGAUGACCCAUAUGGUCGUAUUAUUCAUAUUAGCGCUGAGCAUGGAAGAUAUGUUGCCAAAACAUAUAGUCCAAGACAGCUUGCUUCAGCUGUAGAUGGUGCACCCAUCUUUGAGAUAUUUCUGAGAAUGAAUAAGCAUGGCAAUUAUAAGCAGCAGGCUGUCUACUUAAAGCAGAGGACAGCUCCUCAGGAUUCAACAAUUCCUACCCCUAUGUUUUCUGGUACCCGUAACUUGGACUCUCUAUCUCCAACUGAAUACAAAGAUGAUCUAUUUGGAAAAGGUAAAGAAGUUUCAGAAGAUGAUGAAAAUAGGGAUGAUGAUUCUGGUUUUGAGAAUAAAUUACGAGAUAUGGUUCCUGGUGUGAAGGUCAAAGUUCUAAAAGUAACAGCUCCAGCCAAGGUGGAUAGGGAUUUAAUAUCAAAAGUCAUUGAACAAGUACUUGAUGAUGACGAUGAUGAAGAUGAAGAUGAAGAGGACAUUGAUUUAGAAACAGUGGAUAGUGAGGUAGAUGAAGAUGACUUUGAAGAGGACAUUGAAUUAGAAGUAGUAGAUGCUGAAGUAGAUAUUAAAGUUGAAAACAAUGAAGAGCAGAAUGUCAUUGAAUUGGAUACAGAUACUGGGACUAGAGACAAUGAAGAACAGAGUCAAGUUGCUAUUAAGGUGGUUGUUGGUCGCCUUGUACAGAAUAUGUCUAGCAGUGCUCGUCGUAAAGAUUUACUUCGAAUACCAGCUACGCUGGAGAGGAAGAGUCGUUUGUCAUUUACUUUUUCUGUAGAGGACACUGAACAAACAUCCAGUGGUGAUGGAGAGUCCUCAUCAAAUAGAAAGCCUAAACUCCAUAGUCAACGGAGUAUGGACCAUCUUAUGCUUGAUCUUGCAAAAUUUAUUGGCAAGGGAAAAAUACCUGAGAAGAUGCUGAAGGAUGUUGGCAAGUUGAUUAAUCUUACUCUAAAUCAGGCUCGAAAUCAUCAACUACUGUCCAAAUCAACUACUUUCAAUCGCAUUGAGAUUCCACUGUCGACAGACCCACUAAAUGGACUAUAUAUUGGUACCCAAGGUCUCUAUGGAUCUGAAGUCAUCCACCUACGGCGCAGAUUUGGUCAAUGGAAAGAGGACAAGAUCACAAAGAAUUCAUCUAAUAUUGAAUUUUAUGAAUAUGUUGAAGCUGUAAAAUUAACUGGAGAUCCUUAUGUCCCUGCUGGCCAGAUAGCCUUCCGUGCAAAAGUUGGAAAACAGAACCAACUUCCUCAUAAAGGGAUUAUUCCUGAAGAAUUUGGUGUGAUUGCUCGAUAUAGGGGACAAGGAAGGCUGGCUGAGCCAGGGUUUCAAAAUCCCCGUUGGGUUGAUGGAGAACUUGUUAUCCUGGAUGGAAAGUACAUCAAAGGAGGACCUGUUGUUGGGUUUGUGUACUGGGCCCCAGAGUAUCACUUCUUGAUGUUCUUCCAUCGCCUGAGGCUGCAGGAUUAGAUUCUUGUUGUACAUAAAGUUGAGGCUGUUUAUUCUUUCCUAUUUUUUAGUCCUGGGACUUUGGAUGAGGUAUUGUAGGGAUUCUGUGGAUCGUUCUGGCUGAGAAUACCAUUCAAAGUGAAGAUGGAUUUGAUAAUGCUUGGUUGAGUAGAGGAGAGUGUUACGUUUCUGCCCCUUUGUCUGUGAAUCACAUUGUCUGCUAGCAUCAUUGUCAUCUGCACAAAUCUCGACUCUUGAGACCUAUUGGCUUCAUGGUUUGAAAUCUGAAGAGGGGUAUAUAAAUGCUGUUAAAUAUGUUGGUUUGCACUUAUUUGACCUAAAUGUGUGUGUAUAUUGAUACAACUGAGGAAAAUGAGAAUUAGAUUUAAGACUUCUCAUAUGGAGUCUUAAAUAUAUGUUUACUAAACUCCAAAGUCUACAUGAGAAGUCUUCAGGCGCGGUUGCGGUGCUAUGGCCUGUGGGUAUGAGUGCAAAUGAGCAAUUUGAACAAUGAACACUAUGACGACUGGGCUGCACUUAAUA